GGUCCCUGCCUCCUCCAGGCUGGCAUCCGCCUCUGGCUCUUGGGCUUUAUGAGGCACUUUCUGUCCCUCAGGGUCCCCAGCAGACCAUCUGCAGUGAUGCAGGCCCGGUCCGGAAGACGUGGCCUCAUCCACUGUCUUCACUAGGAAGAAGAUUCAUGAGGCAGCCUCCCUGGUCCCCAGCUCCUGUGGCUUUCAGGAAGGAGAAGCCUCCACACUUGUCACCUGUGGUAACCCAACCCUGGUUGCCCACCCCAGCAGCCACUGCUGAGGUCUAGUCCUUACUACCUAUGGGAGGUGCCCUGGACUCUGGCCUGUCCUCCACAGGACCACCAAAACGUGAUCUGAUGGAGCCUCACCCCGCAGGUGAACCCAUCUGGAUUCGUCCUUGCUUGUUAGAACCAGACUGGAACAACAAAUAGUGUGGCUUCCUAGCUUGCUUCUUCACCUGUACCAAGUGGACAGCACCUCCCUCAACGUUGUCCUGAGGAAGAAAUUUGGCAAUGGAUUCAAACAUGCAGCGCUGGGCUCAACACACACAGAGUGAGGGCUAAUGGAUGCUGGAGGAAGACAGGAGUUCAAUGUGCACUCAUUUCACGCUGAUUUCUUCAGGUCCUGGUCUGUGAUGCAUGCUGGGGACACAGCCAAAAUCCAUCCCUGGCCCUGGCUUUUGGGUCUCAGCACCUGGAAGAGCAGGCAGCCAUGGAGCAGCAACACCAGCUAUGAUAGACACAGCAGGAGGACCCUUACCUGCAAGCUGCAGUGGGGUGGGGACUUCAGAAGAGGCCACUUGUGAGCUGGCCAUGUUGGGGGAGCAGACUUUGCGCUCCUGGAGAGCAGGGACUGUGCAUCUGUGCUCACUUCCCAGUGCCGUGGCACAGGGCAGUGACGCCAGGACAGAUAAUGCCACACGCGGCUGCUCUUUGCAGAGUGCUCCCCGCCAGGCACUGGGCUCAGUGCUCUCCCUGCAGGCCUUCUCUCAGCCACGAUCCGAGUCCUGCUACACACAGAGCUCUGCAAUCAGCCUGACGAUUCCACGCCGCCCAGCUCAAACUAGCUGAGGCGCUGCAGACCUCAGCCAACAAGGAGCUUCUCCAAUCCCCCAGGUGCCAUGUUCUUGCUGUUGUUUCCUGGGGCCCCUGAAGUGCCUGACCCUGAGCAAGUUCAAGGAGCACACAGGGAGGAGGAGCCAGGGACAGAGUCAGAGUCAGUAGGCACAGAGCUCUUGGCAGCCUGGGAUGAGGAGGGGAGUCACAGGGACCCUGAAUGGGAAUAGAGUUCCAGUCUCGCAACUGUGUCUUGUCUUAUAGCAGGAGCUCCCCAAAGCAGACUCUGGGUCAAAGAUUCAACUGCAAGUAAUUUGCUUAGGAGAUGCCCCCAGGAAGUGCUACGAGAGAGGCAGAAGGCAGGCAGGGAGGCAGGAAGCAGGGAGAGCCAUGAAAAUGUGUGGUAAGGAGGUUACAGCUCAGGUCCUGGCUUGGGCCCCCAGGGAGUGCCCUCUGAGAGCCUAUGUGGAAGCAACCUCAGAGCUUUCUCUCUGGAAGGUCGAUGAAGCUGUGUUGCUAACCCACCAACUUCCACCCUCAUAGGUGAGGGCUGCAGCUUUUCUGGCACUUCUGGCUUGCCCUGGGCUUGCCCUGGCAGAGUGAGAGCCCUGAGUCAGGGAGACUCUGGGAGCCAAUUGCAUGCUUGGGAACUGCCUGCCCAUGACACCCAGGGGAACCCGAUGGGCCGGCAUGGACAGCUUCUGCCACUGGCUCCCAAAACAGCAGUGCACACAUAGGAGGAGGAAGCAGGACGACUUCUGGAUUAGAGCCUCUGGGCUUACAGGAACCAACUCUGAGCUGAAGCCACUGGCCAGGCUCUUGAAUAUGAUAAGAGAAUCACAGCAUGCGGCUCAGCACGUGGCUCAAGGCGGAUGUCAGCCCCGCUGGACACCAUGCUCCCCUCAGCCCUGCAUCUUCUUUCAGGCUGUCCCUUCUGCCCGGACAACGCUCUCCCACUCCCCUCCCCUCCUCACCCCUAGUCCCUUCACCUAAUUAACUCCUGGGCAUUCCUCGGGGCUCUGUCUUAAUGUCACCUCCUCUGAGAGCCCUCCUUGAUGCUCCAGAUUGGGUCAAGCAUAUUAUGAACCAUCACAAGGCCAUGCAUUCCUCCUGCAGAACCUGAGCUCAACAGAAAUAAAUCAAAACUUCACUCACC
ensembl:lncRNA novel transcript